UACAGAGGUCUCAAGCGUUGUUCGGAUUCAUUGGGCGUAAAGGGUGCGUAGGUGGCGCGGUAAGUCGGGUGUGAAAUUUCGGAGCUUAACUCCGAAACUGCAUUCGAUACUGCCGUGCUUGAGGACUGGAGAGGAGACUGGAAUUUACGGUGUAGCAGUGAAAUGCGUAGAGAUCGUAAGGAAGACCAGUGGCGAAGGCGGGUUUCUGGACAGUUCCUGACACUGAGGCACGAAGGCCAGGGGAGCAAACGGG
rnacentral:rRNA from 1 species